UGUAAAAUAAGCUAAGCACAAGCUCUUGGGCUCAUACCCCAAAUAUGAAUAUACUAUUCUUUUACAA
rnacentral:tRNA from 1 species